UACGGGGGGGGCAAGCGUUGUUCGGAAUUACUGGGCGUAAAGGGUUUGUAGGUGGCUUGUUAAGUCAGACGUGAAAUCCCUCAGCUUAACUGGGGAACUGCGUCUGAUACUGGCGAGCUUGAGUGCAGGAGAGGAACGCGGAAUUCCAGGUGUAGCGGUGAAAUGCGUAGAUAUCUGGAGGAACACCGGUGGCGAAGGCGGCGUUCUGGACUGCAACUGACACUGAGAAACGAAAGCCAGGGGAGCAAACGGG
rnacentral:rRNA from 1 species